CUUACUCUUCUUGUUAUACCGCCUAUAUAUUACCGUCGUCAGCUUACCCUUUAAAGGCAAGACAGUAAGCAGAAUUGGCAUUGACCCCAAAACGCCAGGUCGAAAUGUAGUGUAUGAAGAGGGAAGAAAUGGGCUACAUUCCAUAAAACAGUGAAUACGAAUGGCAAUACUGAAAUACCAGCCUGAAGGAGGAUUUAGCAGUAAGAAGAGAAUAGAAUGCUCUUCUGAAACAGGCCCUGAAGCGCGUACACACCGCCCGUCACUCUCCCCGUAAAUCUUAUAACUUUACUUAAAUCCACUUACUCGUUAAGGGGAGGCAAGUCGUAACAUGGUAAGUGUACCGGAAGGUGCACUUGGAACA
rnacentral:rRNA from 1 species